rnacentral:lncRNA from 1 species
UAAGUGUUGAGCGGUAGCAUGUACCACACUCAAUCCGAGUGGGAGGUGCCUCUCAUCCCGUCUCACUCCUUGGAUCCAGACCCUAUUGGUUAGUCAGUCGAAUCGAGCCAGUAAGAGAUUGGUCGAGGAAACUGGCGAAACAUAGGUACUACUGUCUAUUGUUUAUUGUAUAAUCCUUUGGAUUAGAUUCACUAGAUUCGAUAUACUCGACUAUUACCAUCACUCUUAUUUUGAAUUUCGGGUCCGGUAGGAGGUUGAUUGGUGGAUGGAAAUUGGUGUAAAGUAGAGAUCUACGGUCAUGGUUUAUUUCUUCAAAUGUUGACGGAGUGUUAACGGGUUCGGAUCAAAUAAUGCAACGGAAUUUUGGUUCUUGAGAGCCAUCUGUAUCUUACACUUUGAGAUGAUUAUUACUUGUAGUGUUAUUAUUUUUUUUUAAAAACUUUACACUCGCUUAUUUUGAGAUUUGCUACUUGAAGUAUUAUUGCUCACUUUUAUGAACUUUUAUACUUGCUACUUUGAUAUUGCAAGUUUUAUAUAAUGGUCAAUUUGCUAUUUGGAUUUGUCUGAAGUUUUGGAACCUCAUUGAGUUUUGACUCACUCUAUUAGAAUCUUUUGUUUUCCUUACAGGGGAUACGAGCGAGAGCGUGAAGCUGAUACAGGCUAGCAUAGUCUAUUUGUUUGAGAUUUUGGCAAUUGUACGCGCACUAGUGCUCGAUUAGGGUUGAAUGUAUUUGGAACUCAAAUCUUUUGUUAUAUUUGGGGAUUGUAUGAAUGAAUGAAUGUAAUUAUACGUUCUAAGAUUAGGAACUGUU